UUGAACCGGCAGCCGGUCCCACGUCCCAGACCGCUUAGUCAACGCGACACGAGUACGUUGUUAAAUAAUGGCCCAGCAACAGUUUUUCUGAACCAAGGUCGAGAAUCAUCCGGCGCUGGUAGUCGGACACGAUCCAAGGAGUAUGCUGUAGGGGAACAUGUGGAACGUCAGCACAGUGAAGAGACUGCUGAGACAGACACUGCUCCAUACAAUAACAAGAAGAGAGGAAACAGAAGAAAGCGAGAAAAUCCCAUGGGAUAUAAAGUCCUAGAAAGUAUGCUUGCCUUGUAUCCAGACCAAGUUGUACUGAAACUUCUAACUGAGCAUUCAGGAUAUGAUCUCUUGAUCGGGAAUGAGGAUAGCAUUUCUGAUGAUAAAAUGGUCCUGCUUAUGCAAGUUCUCUGCCACGCAUCCAAGGCACAAGUUGGCCGAGAAAACUUGAAUUCUCUUCUUGUUAAAACUUUUAACACAAAAUUCAUUAAUCACCUGAUAAAAUUCUCAAUGGUGAUUGGAUUUCAGUGUACAGGUGACCAUGAGAAAACAUUAAAAUAUUUUGAAGACUUGUCAGCUGUCCUACAUACAUAUGCUCAUACAAUGCCAACUAGGGCUGUGGAUCACCUCCUGCCGCUGAUCGAUAGUUCAGUUAUGAUUUGUCAGAGGUUAUCAUUCCCGGAAAUUGUGAGGCAAAAUGAAGAAACAAAAGCCUUCCUGGAAAGUGAAAAAAUGAAAGUAGGAAAGCAACCCAAUCAAGAAAGGAAAACAAACAGAGGGAGAUGGCUGGACGAUCUACCUCCUCCGGAUAACUUCCGAGAUCUUCCUGUCAUACCUACUGCUCAAGACAUCAACGAUGUAGGCACACCUUAUUUGAGAGCGAACAUAACUGGAGGAGGUUAUAAAAAUGUUGACCAUUACUUGGAUGUGCAAUUUCGGCUCCUCAGAGAAGAUUUUGUAAGACCCCUUAGAACAGGUAUUCAAGAAUUUAGGGUCGAUGCACAUUCUAAAAACUCAGAUAUUAGGAUUUAUAGGAAUGUGAAAGUUGUGGGGACUGACAUAAAAAAUGGAGAUGUGGUCCACUAUGUUGAAAUACCAUUUAAGAAGAAUCUGAAGAUUGAAAACACAAAAAGACUAUUGUAUGGUAACCUCUUGUGUUUUAGUACAGACAAUUUUAAGACCCUAAUACUCGGGUCAGUAGCAGAAAGAAACAUGGAAGAUCUGAAGAAAGGUAAACUUGGUGUCAAAUUUGAAAGUGAUAUUGAUAACCAAGGAAAACUAUGGGUAAUGGCUGAAUCAAGAACGUAUUUCAUGGCUUACAAACAUGUACUUACAGCUCUACAAGGAAUUACAACUGAUUCCUUUCCUUUGCAAGAAUUCAUAAUCAAUGUCACACAGGAGAAAAUAUAUCCCAGUUAUUUAACUCGACAGACCACCUAUGAUCUUCGGGUAUUUAAGUAUUCAACAAUGAUGAAAAAAUCAGAGACAAUCAGCCAGCUCUUUGACAGCAAAGAUAAUGAGAUUCGCGAUGAUAACUGGCCUGGAGUUCCUCGUUUGCAGACAGUGCCACUCAUGGCGGACCUCGAGUUUUGGCCUUCAGAGAUAGAUCUGGGUCUGGAUGCGUCUCAGCGGAGAGCUCUGAGGAGUGCACUUACCAACAAACUCGCCAUCAUUCAGGGUCCUCCAGGAACAGGAAAAACGUUUAUUGGACUCAAGAUUACACAGACGCUUCUCCACAAUAGCGAAUUUUGGAAAAAAAGACACUCACCUAUAUUGGUAGUGUGUUUCACCAAUCAUGCUCUUGAUCAAUUUCUUGAGGGAAUUGCAAAAUUCACAAAAAGCAUUGUCCGGGUUGGCUCAAGAACGAAAAGUGAGGUGAUUAGUGACUUUCAAAUAAGAACACUUAUAAAUGUUGUUAAAAAGAGAAGACAAAUGCCUGAAGAUGUUUACGAGCUGAAUCAGACUAGGUACCAAGAUGCAUUAGUGGCAGAGAAGGAAGUAAAGCAAUGGAAGUCAGUAUUGGAAGAGACUGAAAAUCCACAAGGCAUUCUUCAAAAACGUGUCUUUCUGGCUGAAAAAGUGAUAACAGAUAAUAUUGCAAGUCAAAUUCAGAAUAUUUCUCUAAGGUCCUGGUUGAUGGAUCCAUCAGUCUUUGGAAAAGAAAGAACUAUUGGAGAUACUGUCCUAGAUGACCCAAAGGCCCCAGCAGAUGAGAAUGACGACGAACUUUGGGGCGAUGCUGAGGAACUCAUGGCUGAUGAGGAAAGUGAGAGGAUGGUCGAAAUGGAAGACGACUUGAACACACUGAAGCAUGCCACUCCCCGAAGUGUUCUAGACUAUGAAAUGAAUAUCAAGAACUUGGAGAAAGAGUUGUUGGAUCUGAAAUCGGAAGAUGUGGAAGAGAUGGACGAAAGUCUGCAGUUUAGACAUAAUCUAAAUGUAGGAAUGUUGAAAGUUCUGAGGCAUGGUCUUCAGACAGUAAGACGGGACUCCAGUGCCGAUUUAGAGAGAGCUGAAACUAGGUUACAUAUCAAGAAUCUGUCUUUCAAAGAUCGAUGGCUCCUCUACAAGAUAUGGCUCAAGCGAUUGAAUAAAAUAGUAAAGGAAAAAUUUGAAAUAGCAGAAAAAGAGUUCCAGAGGUGUUCAAAGGCCUUGGAAGAGAUUCGCAUCCAGGAAAUGCUUCAUAUCAUGAGACAUGCAGCAGUGGUGGGCAUGACGACGACGGGAGCAGCUCAGAACACAGCCGUCCUACAAGCACUUCAGCCAUCCAUAGUGAUCAUAGAAGAAGCUGCUGAGAUCCUAGAGGCACACGUCAUCACUUCUCUUUCCAGAAAGUGCAAACACCUAAUAAUGAUUGGUGAUCACCAGCAACUGCAGCCAAGUGCCACCGUAUACGAACUGGCCACUAAAUACAAGCUGGAAAUUUCUUUGUUCGAAAGGAUGAUUAAGAAUGGUCUACCUUAUGAGACUUUGGAUUAUCAACACCGGAUGAGGCCUGAAAUAUCCUCCUUGCUUGUCCCAUCCAUUUAUCCGCACCUGAAGAACCAUCCGUCAGUGGCUGAGUAUCCGCGCAUCAAGGGAGUCACUGCAAGCCUCUUCUUCAUUAACCACAAUCAUCAUGAAGACAAGGGCAUAGCUGAUGACAACAACAGUCGUCAAAAUACGUUUGAAGGUGAACUCAUCAUGGCUCUUUGUCGCCACCUGAUACUUCAAGGUUACAACUCAGACAAAAUAACUGUCCUCACACCAUACUCUGGACAGUUCUUUGUCCUUAAAAAGUUACAACGGAAACAUCAUGUGUGUCAGGGAGUUCAUAUCUGCAUUGUGGAUAAUUUCCAAGGAGAAGAAAAUGACAUCAUACUACUGUCUCUUGUGCGCAGUAAUGAGAAAGGUCAAGUAGGAUUUUUACGAAAGGAAAAUCGAGUCUGUGUGGCUCUCUCUCGAGCCAAGCAUGGCCUCUACAUCGCAGGUAACAUGGAUCAGCUGACUGCCUCUACUGAUCUUUGGACAAAGAUCAAAGAAGAUCUUACAAGAAACAAGGCAAUAGGCAAUGCCUUGACACUGCGCUGUGAAAACCACCCGGAACAACGAACUUCAGUGUCAAGUGGAGAUGACUUUCUAGAAAAAUGUCCCGAGGGAGGAUGCUUGAAAGCGUGCUCUACCUUGCUGCCAGCAUGUAAUCACAGAUGCCCCAAGAUUUGUCACAUGACAGAACAAGACCAUAAGAAUGUAAAAUGCCCACAGCCGUGUCCUAAAAUGUGCAAAAGGAACCAUUGUUGUCAACAAAAAUGCGGGGAAGCAUGUAGACCAUGUGCAGUUCUAAUUAACAAAACUCUCCCAUGUGGGCAUACCCAUAAAGUGAAAUGCCAUGAAUACGAAAGGAAGGAUUUCUUAUGUCCGAAUGUAGUUCCAAAGCAGUUGCCACACUGUAAACAUGAAGUAGAAAUGCAGUGUCAUCGCAACCCGGCAACCUUCCCUUGUCCGAUUCCAUGCGAUACACGACUCGAGUGCGGACAUCAGUGUCCUCAGAAAUGCCACACCACCAGUGACCCUGACCAUUUGGAGUUCAAGUGCGAACAGCCAUGCACUCGCACUCCGGAAGGUUGCGGUAAAGCCCAUCGUUGCCAGAAACCGUGCUGGGAGAAGUGUGGCCCUUGUAUGGAAUACGUUAAGAAAAUCAAAGAGUGUGGCCACAGACACACGACUAACUGCUAUGUAAAGACAGAGGAUAUCUUCUGUAAGCACGACUGCAGAAAAUUGUUACCAUGCCAACACCCAUGCCCGAGAAGAUGCAGCGAAGAAUGCGGAGGCUGUAAGAUAAAAGUCAAGAAGAUUGUGCCAGAUUGUCGUCACGAAAUACAGGUUGAGUGUAGCCAGCCUCCUCUGAAGUCAAGCUGUAAAAACCGAUGCAUCUUGACCCUUCCUUGUUCUCACCCUUGCCGCGCCCUUUGCUGUGAAGCGUGUACCAAGGAAUGUCAAGUACUGGUCAAAACCAAGAAUGUCUGUCCAAGGGGUCAUGAUAUAAAGAUGCCAUGUUAUCUCCAAGACAGAAGUGGAAAAGAAGCCUGGGCCUUCUGCAGCGAGCCAUGCGGUGAAGUGCUUGACUGUGACCACCCGUGUGGAGGGCAGUGUGGCUCCUGUCUAUAUGGACGACUCCACAUAGCGUGUGCAAAGAAAUGCGAGAGAACUCUUCCAUGUGGACAUGUUUGCAAAGCAGACUGCAGUGCUGAGUGUCCCCCUUGUACCGAUGCUUGCCCUCUGAAGUGCAAGCACAGCCGCUGCAGGAAGAAAUGUGGAGAACCAUGCACUAACUGUCAGGAAAAAUGUCUAAGAAGUUGCCAACACCAAACCUGCGAAGCACUCUGCAGUCGGAAGUGCUCAGUCCCGCCCUGUAAAAAGCCUUGCCCGAAAAGGCUACGGUGUGGACAUCCAUGCGUUGGGUACUGCGGUGAUCCCUGCCCGCCUCUGUGCCGCAUAUGUGACAAGGACACUCUUACGGAAAUUCUCUUUGGCUCCGAGGACGAAGAAGAUGCAAGAUUCGUGCUGCUGGAAGACUGUCGCCAUGUGAUAGAAGCCGACGGACUUGAGAAUUGGCUCUCUGGAGAUGACGGUGAAAUUUCCAUGAAGAAAUGCCCACGGUGUCAGAGCCCCAUCUACAACAACAGACGUUUCCACGACUUAAUCUUGAAGGGUUAUGAAAAUAUCCGGGAAUUGAAAUGCAAGUAUUAUACGGAGAAACCUGUCAUCCAGCAACAGGAUAUUGAACAGAUUCUUAGUGGUGCAUCCACGUAUGCCGACUUCCAUGAAGAGGUCAGGCAAAUAAGGAAGUCCAUCCGCCAAGACCCACUGAACAGGGCUUCUAAAAAAAUCAAAUACUUAAGUGACAGCGAAUUGGUUUUAUUCAAGUUCCAAGCUAGCGUCCUAGAAAGGCUCUCGGAAUUGCUCAAUCAGCACCCUGAUUUACGCCGUCCGCUGAAGUUAGAAGCCGAGUUCUUACUGAAACGAGUCAUGAGCCAGAAGCUACGAAUUUCUCGACAGAUGAUGGAAGAGAUUACUUGCGAACUGCAGCGUCUGGUACUUCUCCCGGCGUACUGGAAGGUUCUCGAGCGUUUCCGGCAAACCAAAGUCGAGGCUCUGGAUAGGAUCCGAAAUCGACUUGCUAGAUAUUUCCACCCGUGUCGAAAGUUCGACAGUCGUACGGAGGGGAAAGUCCGAGGCCUCUUGAACGAAAGUAAGAAAUUCAUUGGCAGCCUUGGAAUAAGUGAAGAAGAAAGGCUGCAGAUCGUCGGGGCCGUCGGACUCAAGCAAGGCCACUGGUACAAAUGCCCUAACGGCCAUAUUUACUGCAUCGGGGAGUGCGGGGGAGCCAUGGUAGAGUCGAAAUGCCCAGAGUGUGGAGAAACAAUCGGUGGCAGAAACCAUGCUCUCCGCGAUGGCAAUGCGCACGCGGGAGAGAUGGACGGAUCGCGCUUUGCUGCCUGGUCUGACCAAGCCAACAUGGCAAACUAUGUCUUUGAAUGAAUUGAUUGAUUUGGGAGUGAGUCCAGUCUCCUGAGUAUGGAAUAAGGGUCAAAGGUUAACGAAUAGUUCAGAGAUGGAACCUUUGUGCCCCCCCCCCCUUUCCUCUUUCUUAAUCCUAUCCGAUGACUCAGAAAGAAUAGAUUUUUACUGAUUUUUUUUUUACCAGAGAUGUGUCUUACCCUAACAGAUUCUGUUAAAUUUUGUCGGCGAUAUGGAUAAUAUUUCUUAGAUUGUCAGCAGGAUAACAAAAAUUUAAGAAAAGAUUUUUAUGGAAUUUUUACCAGAGGUGUAUCUUGGCCUAAUUUAAAUCCCAUUAUAUUUUGAUGGUGAUCCGGAUUGUGAUCCAGAUCCACGAUUUUUUUUAAUAAUUGUAUCAUUACCCCUAAUCCUUUCCCUCUGUCAAGGAGGUAGUUUUACGGUCGUCACCUGUUUACUUGAAAAAGGUGAUUUUAAUGUAUCUGAAUAUUUUUAUUGCAUCAGUGGCUUUAUUCCCUUGACGGAGGUAUGUGUUAAUCUUAUGCUUUAUAGUACUAUACAUUCAUGAUUUUUUCGAUUAUACAGUUUAGUUUUUAGAUUUAUAUAGUUCGUGGUAUAUGGUUUGGUCUUAAUUCGUUCUUAUAAACAGAUUCGGCUCCUCAGUUGGUGUUUCCUAAGUCUUCAGCAGUCUUUCGGCCGGUUUGUUAAAAUUGUGCCAGGCCCGACCCAAUGAAUUUUCAUAAAUCCAUAUAUGUCAAUAUAUCUGAUAGAUAUACAUUUGACUAUCUAUUUGCUCGGUUGAUAUGCAUGUCUAGACUGAUGAAUAUGCAUUUAUUUCCUUAUGCAUGUCUAGUAUACGAAUAUUCUUUGGGUCGGGUCUCGCACACUUCUAACAAACAGACAGAGACGCAUAUACACAGAAAUAGAUGCAUAUCUAUCGAUCUAGACAUGCAUAUUUACCGGGUAGAUAGAUAAAUGUAUAUCUCUCAGAUAGAUAGACAGUUAUGCAUCCAUUUCUGUAUUUUCAUGUCCGUAUAUAUGAUAAUUCAUUGGGUCGGGCCUCCGAGUACGCGCUCUCUUUUCCAGAGUGUAAUCCUUUCAACUGCUGAAUAUUCAACUUUAGUCCUGUCAGUAUUUCACAAAUAAAUCGUUGAAUUCG
rnacentral:misc_RNA from 1 species